AAGACCUUGCGCUUUUGGAGCGGCCGAUGUCUGAUUAGCUUGUUGGUAAGGUAAAAGCUUACCAAGGCUUCGAUCAGUAGCUGGUCUGAGAGGACGACCAGCCACACUGGGACUGAGACACGGCCCAGACUCCUACGGGAGGCAGCAGUGGGGAAUUUUGGACAAUGGGGGCAACCCUGAUCCAGCCAUGCCGCGUGAGUGAAGAAGGCCUUCGGGUUGUAAAGCUCUUUCAGCCGGAACGAAACGGUUACGGUUAAUACCCGUGACUACUGACGGUACCGGAAGAAGAAGCACCGGCUAACUACGUGCCAGCAGCCGCGGUAAUACGUAGGGUGCAAGCGUUAAUCGGAAUUACUGGGCGUAAAGCGUGCGCAGGUGGUUUUGUAAGUCAGAUGUGAAKUCCCCGGGCUUAACCUGGGAACU
rnacentral:rRNA from 1 species